GGGGAGAUGGCAGAGCGGUCAAUUGCAGCUGACUGUAAAUCAGCCGCCUCACGGCUACGUAAGUUCAAAUCUUACUCUCCCCA
rnacentral:tRNA from 1 species